CUGUAUAAUCAUGUGCAUGUCUCUGUUCUAGCUCCAAGGUGAAUCUUCACUGCUCAUGUUCUCCUCAGAAGCACUCACUUCACUCCCCUCAGGUUACUGUACACAUGCACCAACUGCCUGCUUCAGGUUUGGAUGGAGCUUCAUGGUUGUCUUUUGGAGAAAUGACCAGUCAAGUUGUGUUUGAAAUUUGAUUUUUUUCAGGGGCAAAAGGAGCCUCUGCAUUCUUGUCAAAUAUGUAAAUAGCAUGUUUUUGCAGGUGCUAAAAAACAGACUCUAAGUGUGUGUGUGUGUGUGUGUGUGUGUGUGUGUGUGUGUGUGUGUGUGUGCGUGUGUGUGUCUGUGUGUGCGUUCAAGUCACAUGACAUAUUUAACCGGAUGUAGCUGCAAGACGGAGCCUCGUUGACUCUCCGUUUCAACUUAUCUCAAAAGUGAGGACCUCAACCUAUAUACCAGUUUUUAAAUUGUGUUGAUAGGCCAAAUAAAACCAGAGUUAUGAUAAAUUAUGUCCGCGAUACUUUUUUUCUGCUUAUUUUGAUCACGUUCGGCGCUCGAUCGCGCUGUAUGAGACAGGAAAACAUAGCAUGCAGACAUUAGCGACAGGUCUUACAGGCGGAAAAGGCUUGCCAAAAGAAAAAAAAAACACACCACAACAUCUCUCCUAUUGGUGGAAAACUUCACCACAACAACCAAUCCAAAAUUAUAUGGUGACUGAUUGACAAGGGGCGGGCGCUUACGUUCUUCCUGCAACAUGAGAAGCGAGGGAGGGACUCUCAGCAGGGAUGCAGUCUGGGACACGUAGUUGCAAACCUAGCGACUUUGUUGUUAGAUUCAAUGACUUUUCAGACCCCCUAACGAUAUUUUUUUAGAAAGAAAGGGACUUUUAUCGACUUCUUCUGGAGUUUAGAGACUCUGACAUGAAGCAGGCUUUCCUUACUGAGGAGUUAGCAACGCUGCUAAGGGUGCAGAGCCACACAUGCGCUCAGAGCUCUGCAUGGGAGACUGAAGCUGACAGAGCUGCAGCAGUUAGCAGGUUUCACCCUCAGAGACCACCAGGGGUUCAUGUUGAGGCAUUUAAAUUUUUUUUUUUUGUGCCAUAGACACUGUCAGCACAAUCUGCAGUUACACUAACAAAAAUGCUGCAAAAAACAAAGAAUUAUGGAAAAAUUACACAUGGACUGACAUAGAGGAGGAUCUACACAAGUUUUUUACAUCAUGUUUUACAUCAUGCAUCAUUUACAUCAUGUUUUUUUGUAGUGGCAUAAAUAAAAAGUGACAUUUGUGAGACUAUACAGUGUUUUGUAAAUAAUUUUACAAAGAACGCCUGGGCCAUUGCCUGCAUUUUGAUGUAAAUAGAGGUAAAUCACUAUGUUCUUUGUUAAAAAUUUGCAUAUGUUUUGAAGUUUACAAUUUUUAUUUGAAGUUUAAGUUUUAAAAACAGUUCAUCACACAUAUUUGUGGUUUAAUUUCACAUUAAUUUCCAUAUUGUAUAAAUGACUGGAAAAAACUUGAGCCCCUGCCCCUGUAUAAUCAUGUGCACGUCCCUGUUCUAGCUCCAAGGUGAAUCUUCACUGCUCAUGUUCUCCUCAGAAAUAGUCACCUCACUCCCCUCAGGUUACUGUACACAUGCACCAACUAUCUGCUUCAGGUUUGAAAUGGAGCUUCAUGGUUGUCUUUUGGAGAAAUGAACAGUCAAGUUGUGUUUGAAAUUUGAUUUUUUUCAGGGGCAAAAGGAAGCCUCUGCAUUCUUGUCAAAUAUGUAAACAGCAUGUUUUUGCAGGUGCUAAAAAACAGACUCUGAGUGUGUGUGUGUGUCUGUGUGUGUGUGUGUGUGUGUGUGUGUGUAUGUUGGCGUGUGUGUAUAUGUGUGUGUAUCCUGCAGUACUCUGUACUCCUGCAGUGGCCAAAAAGACUUUUAAGAAUGUGGAUUUUUGGGUCAUCUUUGGCGCCCCCUAGAACUGCAGUACUCUGUACUCCUGCAGUGGCCAAAAUGACUUUUAAGAAUGUGGAUUUUUGGGUCAUCUUUGGCGCCCCCUAGAACGUAAACCGUGGGGUGCAGCGUCAUGAUUUUUACAACUUUGAAUGGGCAUGGGGUGUAGAUUGGCCUGAGCAAAUUUGGUAUCGGUGGGACGAAAGCCUUAGGAGGAGAUAGCCACAUUCCAAUGUGUGCGAAUCGGCAAAAAAUGCGAAAUAGCCCUUUAACCGUACAUUAUACAGAUACGCGCUUUUUGACUUUUUCGUAGAUCUAAUUGAGAUUCACGUGAUUGUCAAAUUUUGGGUCAAUAUGACAAAGCUUAUAGGCGUGACACUCAACAAUGUGUAUUUUCAUGUUAGGGGACAAGAAAAAAUGGACUUUUUUCACCUGCCAUGGGGGGGCGCUCUUUUGGGGAGUAAAAAUUCCUUCACAAAUGUGUUGAUGGCUGGACAUUGCAUCAUCCUAGAAAACUUGGAGGCCAGUGAGGACAAAAAUAAAAAGUUAUAAGACUUUUAAGAAUGUGGAUUUUUGGGUUAUCUUUGGCGCCCCCUAGAACGUAAACCGUGGGGUGCAGCGUCAUGAUUUGUACAACUUUUAAUGGCCAUGGGGUGUAGAUUGGCCUGAGCAAAUGUGGUGCCGGUGGAACGAAAGCCUUCGGAGGAGUUAGCGAAAUUCCAAUGUGUGCGGAUCGGCAAAAAAUGCGAAAUAGCCCUUUAACCGUACAUUUGACAGAUACGCCCGCGCUGACUUUUUUGUAGAUCUUAUUGAGAUACACGUGUGUGUCAAAUUUUGUGUCAUUUUGACAAAGCGUACAGGUGUGACACUCAAUCAUGUGAAUUUUUCACCUUAGGGGGCGCUAUGGAGCCAUUUUGCAUUUGAUUGUUUGGGCGACUUCAGAAUAUCGAAUUUUUCACCAGGCCCGGUCGUCCUGCCAAAUUUCAUGAGUUUUCACCAGUGGGAAGUGGGCCAUUUUCCAGUUCAAAGGGGCAGAAAAAUAAUAAGAAGAAGAAGAAGAAACUAGGACCCCGUUGGGGCACUGUCGGGCCCGAGCCGUGUCGCGCCGCCCCCAGUGCGACCGCCUCCCCCUCCCGAUCGCGUCACACUCAAGAUCCAAAGAUGGUGUGCGCACUUGUCUGUGGUCAUUUCCUAUUAUAAUGAAUGGGAGGCGCAGUUUCUACCAAAACACUCGCUGCAGACAAACUUCAUGUCCUAUUUGAAAAAAGUCUGGACCAUGAGUGAGGGCACAAACACAGCUAUGAUAUAUCGAAAUGGCAGGUUGCUCCUCCUUACGGUGUUGCCUGGAGAGCGAUGCGAUUGAGCCAUUGAGCGAUGGGCAGGAAAAACUUAACUUUUUCUCCUGCCAUAUGGGGGGGGGGGUGGAUUCUUUGAAGAAUGUGGAUUUUUGGGUCAUCUUUGGCGCCCCCUAGAACGUAAACCGUGGGGUGCAGCGUCAUGAUUUUUACAACUUUGAAUGGCCAUGGGGUGUAGAUUGGCCUGAGCAAAUUUGGUGUCAGUGGGACGAAAGCCUUAGGAGGAGUUAGCCACAUUCCAAUGUGUGCGAAUCGGCAAAAAAUGCAAAAUAGCCCUUGAACCGUACAUUUGACAGAUACGCGCGAAUCGACUCUUUUGUAGAUCUUAUUGAGAUACAUGUGUGUGUCAAUUUUUGUGUCAUUUUGCCAAAGCGUACAGGUGUUACACUCAACAAUGUGUAUUUUCACCUUAGGGGACAAGAAAAAAUGGACUUUUUUCUCCUGCCAUGGGGGGGCGCUCUUUUGGGGAGUAAAAAUUCCUUCACAAAUGUGUUGAUGGCUGGACAUUGCAUCAUCCUAGAAAACUUGGAGGCCAGUGAGGGCAAAAAUAAAAAGUUAUAAGACUUUUAAAUAUGUGGAUCUUAGGGUUAUCUUUGGCGCCCCCUAGAACCUAAACCGUGGGGUGCAGCGUCAUGAUUUGAAUAACUUUUAAUGGCCAUGGGGUGUAGAUUGGCCUGAGCAAAUGUGGUGCCGGUGGAACGAAAGCCUUCGGAGGAGUUAGCGAAAUUCCAAUGUGUGCGGAUCGGCAAAAAAUGCGAAAUAACCCUUUAACCGUACAUUUGACAGAUACGGCCGCACUGACUUUUUUGUAGAUCUUAUUGAGAUACAUGUGUGUGUCAAUUUUUGUGUCAUUUUGACAAAGCGUACCGGCGUGACAGUGAAUAGUGUGAAUUUUCACCUUAGGGGGCGCUAUGGAGCCAUUUUGCAUUUUCUUGUUUGGGCGACUUCGGAAUAUCAAAUUUUUCACCAGGCCCGGUCGUCCUGCCAAAUUUCAUGAGUUUUCGCCAGUGGGAAGUGGGCCAUUUUCCAGUUCAAAGGGGAGGAAAAAUAAUAAUAAUAAUAACAAAAGAAGGAAACUACAGGAACAAGAGGGCUCUCGCAGCUGCUUAGCAGCUACGCUCGGGCCCUAACUAGGGCCCCGUUGGGGCACUGGCGGGCCCGAGCUGUGUCGCCCCCCCCCCCCCCCCCAACGCGCUGCCUCCCCGUCCCAUUCGCGUCCUCUGGCCAUCGUCCUCUCUGGUAACGCCCAUCACUGCAAAGACCCUUUUCCUUCAUCGGCGUUUGCUGUUCUUCCUGCCAGUGCGUGUUGCUUUCACUUACACUUGCCACAGCCAGCCUUGUGAGUGCCUAGCCUAUUGGAUAUCACUGUCACCUACACAGGACAGUCAUUACCUUUCUAUUAAUACUUUGUUUUUUAAUUUCACAUUAAUUUCCAUAUUGUAUAAACGACUGGAAAAAACUUGAGCCCCUGCCCCCGUAUAAUCAUGUGCACGUCCCUGUUCUCGCUCCAAGGUGAAUCUUCACUGCUCAUGUUCUCCUCAGAAGCAGUCACCUCACUCCCCUCAGGUUACUGUACACAUGCACCAACUGCCUGCUUCAGGUUUGGAUGGAGCUUCAUGGUUGUCUUUUGGAGAAAUGAGCAGUCAAGUUGUGUUAGAAAUUUGAUUUUUUUCAGGGGCAAAAGGAAGCCUCUGCAUUGUUGUCAAAUAUGUAAAUAGCAUGUUUUUGCAGGUGCUAAAAAACAGACUCUGAGUGUGUGUGUGUGUGUGUGUGUGUGUCUGUGUGUGUGUGUGUCUGUGUGUGUGUAUCCUGCAGUACUCUGUACUCCUGCAGUGGCCAAAACGACUUUUAAGAAUGUGGAUAUUUGGGUCAUCUUUGGCGCCCCCUAGAACGUAAACCAUGGGGUGCAGCGGCAUGAUUUUUACAACUUUGAAUGGCCAUGGGGUGUAGAUUGGCCUGAGCAAAUUUGGUGUCAGUGGGACGAAAGCCUUAGGAGGAGUUAGCCACAUUCCAAUGUGUGCGAAUCGGCAAAAAAUGCAAAAUAGCCCUUUAGCCGUACAUUUUACAGAUACGCGCCCAUUGACUUUUUCGUAGAUCUUAUUGAGAUACACGUGUGUGUCAAAUUUUUUGUCAAUAUGACAAAGCGUACAGGCGUGACACUCAACAAUGUGUAUUUUCACCUUAGGGGACAAGAAAAAAUGGACUUUUUAUUCCUGCCAUGGGGGGGCGCUCUUUUGGGGAGUAAAAAUUCCUUCACAAAUGUGUUGAUGGCUGGACAUUGCAUCAUCCUAGAAAACUUGGAGGCCAGUGAGGACAAAAAAAAAAAAUUAUAAAACUUUUAAGAAUGUGGAUUUUUGGGUUAUUUUUGGCGCCCCCUAGAACCUAAACCAUGGGGUGCAGCAUUAUGAUUUGUACAACUUUGAAUGGCCAUGGAGUGUAGAUUGGCCUGAGCAAAUGUGGUGCCGGUGGAACGAAAGCCUUCGGAGGAGUUAGCGAAAUUCCAAUGUGUGCGGAUCUGCAAAAAAUGCAAAAUAACCCUUUAACCGUACAUUUGACAGAUACGCCCGCACUGACUUUUUUGUAGAUCUUAUUGAGAUACAUGUGUGUGUCAAUUUUUGUGUCAAUAUGACAAAGCGUACAGGCGUGACAGUCAAUAGUGUGAAUUUUCACCUUAGGGGGCGCUAUGGAGCCAUUUUGCAUUUUCUUGUUUGGGCGACUUCAGAAUAUCGAAUUUUUCACCAGGCCCGGUCGUCCUGCCAAAUUUCAUGAGUUUUCGCCAGUGGGAAGUGGGCCAUUUUCCAGUUUAAAGCGGAGGAAAAAUAAUAAUAACUAGGACCCCGUUGGGGCACUGGCGGGCCCGAGCUGUGUCGCGUCCCCCCCCCAACGCGCUGCCUCCCCGUCCCAUUUGUUUCCUCUGGCCAUCGCCCUCUCUGGUAACGCCCAUCACUGCAAAGACCCUUUUCCUUCAUCGGCGUUUGCUGUUCUUCCUGCCAGUGCGUGUUGCUUUCACUUACACUUGCCACAGCCAGCCUCGUGAGUGCCUAGCCUAUUGGAUAUCACUGUCAUCUACACAGGACAGUCAUAACCUUUCUAUUAAUACUUUGUUUUUUAAUUUCACAUUAAUUUCCAUAUUGUAUAAAUGACUGGAAAAAACUUGAGCCCCUGCCCCUGUAUAAUCAUGUGCACGUCCCUGUUCUAGCUCCAAGGUGAAUCUUCACUGCUCAUGUUCUCCUCAGAAAUAGUCACCUCACUCCCCUCAGGUUACUGUACACAUGCACCAACUAUCUGCUUCAGGUUUGGAUGGAACUUCAUGGUUGUCUUUUGGAGAAAUGAACAGUCAAGUUGUGUUUGAAAUUUGAUUUUUUUCAGGGGCAAAAGGAAGCCUCUGCAUUCUUGUCAAAUAUGUAAACAGCAUGUUUUUGCAGGUGCUAAAAAACAGACUCUGAGUGUGUAUGUGUGUGUGUGUGUGUGUGUGUGUGUGUGUGUGUGUGUGUGUGUGUGUGUGUGUGGUUGGCGUGUGUGUAUAUGUGUGUGUAUCCUGCAGUACUCUGUACUCCUGCAGUGGCCAUAAAGACUUUUAAGAAUGUGGAUUUUUGGGUCAUCUUUGGCGCCCCCUAGAACUGCAGUACUCUGUACUCCUGCAGUGGCCAAAAUGACUUUUAAGAAUGUGGAUUUUUGGGUCAUCUUUGGCGCCCCCUAGAACGUAAACCGUGGGGUGCAGCGUCAUGAUUUUUACAACUUUGAAUGGGCAUGGGGUGUAGAUUGCCCUGAGCAAAUUUGGUAUCAGUGGGACGAAAGCCUUAGGAGGAGAUAGCCACAUUCCAAUGUGUGCGAAUCGGCAAAAAAUGCGAAAUAGCCCUUUAACCGUACAUUAUACAGAUACGCGCUCUUUGACUUUUUCGUAGAUCUAAUUGAGAUACACAUGAUUGUCAAUUUUUGUGUCAAUAUGACAAAGCGUUCAGGCGUGACACUCAACAAUGUGUAUUUGCACCUUAGGGGACAAGAAAAAAUGGACUUUUUUCUCCUGCCAUGGGGGGGCGCUCUUUUGGGGAGUAAAAAUUCCUUCACAAAUGUGUUGAUGGCUGGACAUUGCAUCAUCCUAGAAAACUUGGAGGCCAGUGAGGGCAAAAAUAAAAAGUUAUAAAACUUUUAAGAAUGUGGAUUUUAGGGUUAUUUUUGGCGCCCCCUAGAACCUAAACCAUGGGGUGCAGCAUCAUGAUUUGUACAACUUUGAAUGGCCAUGGAGUGUAGAUUGGCCUGAGCAAAUGUGGUGCCGGUGGACCGAAAGCCUUAGGAGGAGUUAGCGAAAUUCCAAUGUGUGCGGAUCUGCAAAAAAUGCGAAAUAACCCUUUAACCGUACAUUUGACAGAUACGCCCGCACUGACUUUUUUGUAGAUCUUAUUGAGAUACAUGUGUGUGUCAAUUUUUGUGUCAAUAUGACAAAGCGUACAGGCGUGACAGUCAAUAGUGUGAAUUUUCACCUUAGGGGGCGCUAUGGAGCCAUUUUGUAUUUUAUUGUUUGGGCGACUUCAGAAUAUCAAAUUUUUCACCAGGCCCGGUCGUCCUGCCAAAUUUCCUGAGUUUUCGCCAGUGGGAAGUGGGCCAUUUUCCAGUUUAAAGCGGAGGAAAAAUAAUAAUAACUAGGGCCCCGGUGGGGCACUGUCGGGCCCGAGCCGCGUCGCGCCGCCCCCAGCGCGACCGCCUCCCCCUCCCGAUCGCGUCACACUCAAGGUCCAAAGAUGGUGUGCGCACUUGUCUGUGGUCAUUUCCCAUUAUAAUGAAUGGGAGGCGCAGUUUCUACCAAAACACUCGCUGCAGACAAACUUCAUGUCCUAUUUGAAAAAAGUCUGGACCAUGAGUGAGGGCACAAACACAGCUAUGAUAUAUCGAAAUGGCAGGUUGCUCCUCCUUACGGUGUUACCUGGAGAGCGAUGCGAUUGAGCCAUUGAGCGAUGGGCAGGGUAAACUUGACUUUUUCUCCUGCCUUGGGGGGGGGAUGUGGAUUCCUUUAAGAAUGUGGAUUUUUGGGUCAUCUUUGGCGCCCCCUAGAACGUAAACCGUGGGGUGCAGCGUCAUGAUUUUUACAACUUUGCAUGGCCAUGGGGUGUAGAUUGGCCUGAGCAAAUUUGGUGUCAGUGGGAUGAAAGCCUUAGGAGGAGUUAGCCACAUUCCAAUGUGUGCGAAUCGGCAAAAAAUGCAAAAUAGCCCUUUAACCGUACAUUUGACAGAUACGCGCGCAUUGACUUUUUUGUAGAUCUUAUUGAGAUACACGUGUGUGUCAAAUUUUUUGUCAAUACGACAAAGCGUACAGGCGUGACAGUCAAUAGUGUGAAUUUCCACCUUAGGGGACAAGAAAAAAUUGACUUUUUUCUCCUGCCAUGGGGGGGCGCUCUUUUGGGGAGUAAAAAUUCCUUCACAAAUGUGUUGAUGGCUGGACAUUGCAUCAUCCUAGAAAACUUGGAGGCCAGUGAGGACAAAAAUAAAAAGUUAUAAGACUUUUAAAUAUGUGGAUUUUAGGGUUAUCUUUGGCGCCCCCUAGAACCUAAACCGUGGGGUGCAGCGUCAUGAUUUGAAUAACUUUUAAUGGCCAUGGGGUGUAGAUUGGCCUGAGCAAAUGUGGUGCCGGUGGAACGAAAGCCUUCGGAGGAGUUAGCGAAAUUCCAAUGUGUGCGGAUCGGCAAAAAAUGCGAAAUAACCCUUUAACCGUACAUUUGACAGAUACGGCCGCACUGACUUUUUUGUAGAUGUUAUUGAGAUACAUAUGUGUGUCAAUUUUUGUGUCAAUAUGACAAAGCGUACAGGCGUGACAGUCAAUAGUGUGAAUUUCCACCUUAGGGGGCGCUAUGGAGCCAUUUUGCAUUUUAUUGUUUGGGCGACUUCAGAAUAUCGAAUUUUUCACCAGGCCCGGUCGUCCUGCCAAAUUUCAUGAGUUUUCGCCAGUGGGAAGUGGGCCAUUUUCCAGUUCAAAGGGGAGGAAAAAUAAUAAUAAUAAUAAUAAUAACAAAAGAAGGAAACUACAGGAACAAGAGGGCUCUCGCAGCUGCUUAGCAGCUACGCUCGGGCCCUAAUAAUAACAAAAGAAGAAUCCAUCAGGAACAAGAGGGCUCUCGCAGCUGCUUAGCAGCUACGCUCGGGCCCUAAUAACAAAAGAAGAAUCCAUCAGGAACAAGAGGGCUCUCGCAGCUGCUUAGCAGCUACGCUCGGGCCCUAAGAAGAAUCCAUCAGGAAUAAUAGGGCUCUCGCAGCUGCUUAGCAGCUACGCUCGGGCCCUAAAGAAGAACUAGGGCCCCGUUGGGGCACUGGCGGGCCCGAGCUGUGUCGCCCCCCCCCCCCCCAACGCGCUGCCUCCCCGUCCCAUUCGCGUCCUCUGGCCAUCGUCCUCUCUGGUAACGCCCAUCACUGCAAAGACCCUUUUCCUUCAUCGGCGUUUGCUGUUCUUCCUGCCAGUGCGUGUUGCUUUCACUUACACUUGCCACAGCCAGCCUUGUGAGUGCCUAGCCUAUUGGAUAUCACUGUCACCUACACAGGACAGUCAUUACCUUUCUAUUAAUACUUUGUUUUUUAAUUUCACAUUAAUUUCCAUAUUGUAUAAACGACUGGAAAAAACUUGAGCCCCUGCCCCCGUAUAAUCAUGUGCACGUCCCUGUUCUCGCUCCAAGGUGAAUCUUCACUGCUCAUGUUCUCCUCAGAAGCAGUCACCUCACUCCCCUCAGGUUCCUGUACACAUGCACCAACUGCCUGCUUCAGGUUUGGAUGGAGCUUCAUGGUUGUCUUUUGGAGAAAUGAGCAGUCAAGUUGUGUUAGAAAUUUGAUUUUUUUCAGGGGCAAAAGGAAGCCUCUGCAUUGUUGUCAAAUAUGUAAAUAGCAUGUUUUUGCAGGUGCUAAAAAACAGACUCUGAGUGUGUGUGUGUGUGUGUGUGUGUGUGUGUGUGUGUGUGUGUGUGUGUCUGUGUGUGUGUGUGUCUGUGUGUGUGUAUCCUGCAGUACUCUGUACUCCUGCAGUGGCCAAAACGACUUUUAAGAAUGUGGAUAUUUGGGUCAUCUUUGGCGCCCCCUAGAACGUAAACCAUGGGGUGCAGCGGCAUGAUUUUUACAACUUUGAAUGGCCAUGGGGUGUAGAUUGGCCUGAGCAAAUUUGGUGUCAGUGGGACGAAAGCCUUAGGAGGAGUUAGCCACAUUCCAAUGUGUGCGAAUCGGCAAAAAAUGCAAAAUAGCCCUUUAGCCGUACAUUUUACAGAUACGCGCCCAUUGACUUUUUCGUAGAUCUUAUUGAGAUACACGUGUGUGUCAAAUUUUUUGUCAAUACGACAAAGCGUACAGGCGUGACACUCAACAAUGUGUAUUUUCACCUUAGGGGACAAGAAAAAAUGGACUUUUUAUUCCUGCCAUGGGGGGGCGCUCUUUUGGGGAGUAAAAAUUCCUUCACAAAUGUGUUGAUGGCUGGACAUUGCAUCAUCCUAGAAAACUUGGAGGCCAGUGAGGACAAAAAAAAAAAUUUAUAAAAAUUUUAAGAAUGUGGAUUUUUGGGUUAUUUUUGGCGCCCCCUAGAACCUAAACCAUGGGGUGCAGCAUUAUGAUUUGUACAACUUUGAAUGGCCAUGGAGUGUAGAUUGGCCUGAGCAAAUGUGGUGCCGGUGGAACGAAAGCCUUCGGAGGAGUUAGCGAAAUUCCAAUGUGUGCGGAUCGGCAAAAAAUGCAAAAUAACCCUUUAACCGUACAUUUGACAGAUACGCCCGCACUGACUUUUUUGUAGAUCUCAUUGAGAUACAUGUGUGUGUCAAUUUUUGUGUCAAUAUGACAAAGCGUACAGGCGUGACAGUCAAUAGUGUGAAUUUUCACCUUAGGGGGCGCUAUGGAGCCAUUUUGCAUUUUCUUGUUUGGGCGACUUCAGAAUAUCGAAUUUUUCACCAGGCCCGGUCGUCCUGCCAAAUUUCAUGAGUUUUCGCCAGUGGGAAGUGGGCCAUUUUCCAGUUUAAAGCGGAGGAAAAAUAAUAAUAACUAGGACCCCGUUGGGGCACUGGCGGGCCCGAGCCGUGUCCUCUGGCCAUCGCCCUCUCUGGUAACGCCCAUCACUGCAAAGACCCUUUUCCUUCAUCGGCGUUUGCUGUUCUUCCUGCCAGUGCGUGUUGCUUUCACUUACACUUGCCACAGCCAGCCUCGUGAGUGCCUAGCCUAUUGGAUAUCACUGUCACCUACACAGGACAGUCAUUACCUUUCUAUUAAUACUUUGUGUUUUAAUUUCACAUUAAUUUCCAUAUUGUAUAAACGACUGGAAAAAACUUGAGCCCCUGCCCCUGUAUAAUCAUGUGCAUGUCUCUGUUCUAGCUCCAAGGUGAAUCUUCACUGCUCAUGUUCUCCUCAGAAGCACUCACCUCACUCCCCUCAGGUUACUGUACACAUGCACCAACUGCCUGCUUCAGGUUUGGAUGGAGCUUCAUGGUUGUCUUUUGGAGAAAUGACCAGUCAAGUUUGUGUUUGAAAUUUGAUUUUUUUCAGGGGCAAAAGGAGCCUCUGCAUUCUUGUCAAAUAUGUAAAUAGCAUGUUUUUGCAGGUGCUAAAAACCAGACUCUG